UACAGAGGGUGCUAGCGUUGUACGGAAUCAUUGGGCGUAAAGGGCGUGUAGGCGGUUUGUUAAGUCAUGUGUGAAAUCCCUCGGCUCAACCGGGGAACGACGCAUGAAACUGGCAGCUAGAGUACCAAAGAGGGGGGUGGAAUUCCCGGUGUAGCGGUGAAAUGCGCAGAUAUCGGGAAGAACACCCGUGGCGAAGGCGGUUCUCUGGGACGGUACUGACGCUGAGACGCGAAAGCGUGGGGAGCGAACAGG
rnacentral:rRNA from 1 species